rnacentral:rRNA from 1 species
GGUGUUGAUUGCGAUGAGGUUCCACCUGUUCCCAUCCCGAACACAGAAGUUAAGCUCAUUAGCGCCGAAGAUACUUGGCUGGAAGCGGCCUGGGAAAAUAGGUUGAUGCCG